rnacentral:misc_RNA from 1 species
UCAGUUGGUUAGAGCGCGCGCUUGAUAAGCGUGAGGUCGGAAGUUCAAGUCUUCCCAGGCCCACCAUUUUGAUCGAGUGCGGAGCAUUCGUCUUCUGGUACGGGGCCAUAGCUCAGCUGGGAGAGCGCGUGCUUUGCAAGCAUGAGGUCGUCGGUUCGAUCCCGUCUGGCUCCACCAGAUGGAAUUGAAGCUCGAGAGUGCCUCGUCAAAUUCGUCCGCGAAACAUCACUUCGCACUCAUUGGUCCGGAUGGACGGUGACGUGCGUGUUUUCUGACAUCGUAAAGAGGAGAUCGAUCCGAGUUUGGAUCUGCGAAGCAAUUCGCGGGUACCAUUCCUAAUCUCCAGAUCGUUUUCGGCGCUCGUUCAUCGCUACUCAUCGCAAGAUGAGUGAGAUGAGUGAGUUGUAAAACGAUCUUUGUAGCGAAGCUUGACCGCCUCGCUAUCGGGCCGAUCUUACGAAGCAAGCUGGUCUUUCUAGUCAAUGUCCGGCUGUGCAAUCGCAUUCAUCGAGGAUGCACGCCUGGGACUUCGGUCUUUGGGCAAUUACACAGACAACAUUCUGCCGAGUGUGUGGACAUUGAUAAUGAGAGCAAUCAAGUGCCUUAAGGGUGUUCGGUGGAUGCCUUGGCGCUGAGAGGCGAUGAAGGACGUGCUACGCUGCGAUAA